rnacentral:rRNA from 1 species
CACACGGGGGAUCGCCUCAAGACAAGGCGAGUGAAGCGGCAAAAGCUCAAAUUUGAAACCCUCGGGAUUGUAAUUUGAAGAUUUGGCAUUGGAGAAAGCUAACCCGAGUUACUUGCAAUAGUACGUCAUAGAGGGUGACAACCCCGUCUGGCUAACCGUUCUCCAUGUAUUGCCUUAUCAAAGAGUCGAGUUGUUUGGGAAUGCAGCUCAUAGUGGGUGGUAAACUCCAUCUAAAGCUAAAUACUGGUGAGAGACCGAUAGCGAACAAGUACUGUGAAGGAAAGGUGAAAAGAACUUUGAAAAGAGAGUGAAAUAGUAUGUGAAAUUGUUGAUAGGGAAGGAAAUGAGUGGAGAGUGGAUUAGGUUUCAGCCUUCUUUCGAGGGGGUGCGCUACCAACGCCGAGUCAUUGAUAGCGAGACAGGAGUUAUAAACGGACGGCACUUGUGCUAUUCUCCUAACCCCUCUACUGCCACCGACGACAUAAUCGACCCAUUUCACCCGUCUGAACAACGGGACCCACCAGGGGGGCCCGCCGCGAAGGCCGGUCCACGCCCCUUAGCCNCGGAAAC